rnacentral:rRNA from 1 species
AUUGAACGCUGGCGGCAUGCCUUACACAUGCAAGUCGAACGGCAGCACGGGAGCAAUCCUGGUGGCGAGUGGCGAACGGGUGAGUAAUAUAUCGGAACGUGCCCAGUCGUGGGGAUAACGUAGCGAAAGCUACGCUAAUACCGCAUACGAUCUAUGGAUGGAAAGCGGGGGAUCGCAAGACCUCGCGCGAUUGGAGCGGCCGAUAUCAGAUUAGGUAGUUGGUGAGGUAAGGCUCACCAAGCCGACGAUCUGUAGCUGGUCUGAGAGGACGACCAGCCACACUGGGACUGAGACACGGCCCAGACUCCUACGGGAGGCAGCGAGUGGGGGAAUUUUGGACGAAUGGGCGCAAGCCUGAUCCAGCAAUGCCGCGUGCAGGAUGAAGGCU